rnacentral:lncRNA from 1 species
CAGUUUAGACCUUAUGGGAAGUAGGUGAACCUUAUAUGCGCCAAAUGUGGUCGUUUUGAGGCCAAAUUUUGUCAGUAAGUAGCUAAAACCAUGAACAGAAAGUGAAGGUAAAAUGGGCUGAAAACACAUAAGAAUCAAGGGAGUUAUUGCUGUUGGAAGAGAAGGCUUAUGCAUGGAAUAUUAUUUUGGGUCUUAAGGGUUUAGGAGAGCCUAAGGCAGCCCAAAAUAGCUGAAAUAGAGCCAAAUUUGGUGUAGAAUCACCUCAAAAGAGGAUAAAGUGAUGGGAGGAGUUUGGAUAAAUUUGGAAACCACUAGAGUGGGAGAUUAAUGUGACAAAUGUCCCACAUCAAUUAGGAAGUUUAAAGUUACAAAGGUCCCAAAUCAGUUAAGAAGUUAAAAUGAUGAGUGAAAAUUCCCACAUUGGAUAGGC